UCUGCUUAUCAGACAGAGUUAUCGCGGACAGAAACGCGGUAGCUAACACGCUAGCCCCUCACUCAUCCAAAUGAGAAGGGAGAAGGUAUAGUCUGAUCCCUACAGUAAUGUAGGAAAAAUAUGGAACUGUUCCCUUCAGUGGGGUAACGAACGCAACCCCCGUUGUCUGUUGCCUAUAUGGCCAGGCGAGACUGCUCCCUCACGGGAGAGGAAGGUGGGGAUGACGCCAGAUCAGCAUGUCCCUCUGAUACCUUGGGCUGCACGCAUAAUACAAUGGGCGGUACAACGGGUUGCAAUGCCGUAAGGCGGAGCCAAUCCUUAUAAAACCGCCCCCAGUACGGAUUGAGGUCUGCAACCGACCUCAUGAAGCCGGAAU
rnacentral:rRNA from 1 species